CAAUAAAUAGCUUGAGGAUGCAUUGUUCAGGAAGGAAAAGGAAGGAAGGGAAAAGUGGAAGCACUGUAAAAGUGUUAUUAUAUGUCCUGAAUUAUAUAUUUACUGAAAUGACAUAAAAACAGAAAAAGCAAAAGAUAGGAAACACAAGCUGAUCACAACAUGCAGCAAUUCCCCAGUGAUAAUCCAGUGAUUAAUAUUUUGCUGUACAUUAUUUUUCUUCUUUUUCUGUGCAUACAUAUCUGUAUCUAAAACUAAUCUAUAUUCCUAUCUAUAUCUAUUUUGUCUCUUUGUGAAUGUUAGGUAUUAGUCAUACCUAAACCCAGAAAACAAAAAAUGAUACAGAGUUUUAGAGAGGGGAGAGCUUGGCAUUUUUAAUGCUGAGGCUUUGUCUGUAGCAACAGAACUAUUUUCUGUAGACAAAAUCUGGAACUCCAUCUGGGGUUUUUUUUUUUUUUUUUGAGGACUUUAGUCAAGGGAUUGGCACAGGAGUGAGUCAGCCUAUCUCAGCUACUCUGUGUAGAGUCAUCCCAUCUGUAAAAAGAAGAUAAAACUUGCAUAUUUGAAAUGCUCAUAAAAUGCUCUAAAGGUAUUUGAUGAAAAUGGUAAAUGUUCAAUAAAUAUUUAAAUAAAACAAGAAAUGACUUAAUAUACUUUUUUCUCACCAUCUGGGGUCAGAGACAUCUUAAUAAGUAUAUAAUCAGCCUUCAGGCAAAGACAUUAAAACAUAUUUCAAUUAUGAAUUUCACCACAUUUUCAUUAGAGUUCAAAAGAUCCCCAAAAAAUGUUUUCCAGGAAAGAAAAUGGAAGUUCAUAGCCGGGAUUUUAAUAAUGAACUUAGGUCUGUUUUUCAUUUGUUUCCAUUGUUGUGUGUGUGUGUAAAUAUUUAAACAUAUGGAGAAUAUAUAUAAUGAGAAAGAAGUGCAGUUCCUUUCUCCAGGUCUGUUGCUGCUCUUUUGAGUGGGACAGAUGCUCUUGCUGCCUAGGGAGAGAGAGAAUCAGAUACGGCUCCGUUAGAAGCUAGCAAGAGGUGAGGCAGAGGCCAGAACUCAGGGUUCUGACAUCAGAUCUGAGCCUGUAAAAAGAAAAUGUUGGUCUAAAGCGCACACCCCGAGGAUAAGCUCCUGAUGAAAUUUCUGUCUGGCACAAAUGCGUAGGAGAAUGUUCGUUUCAGAAUUGUGACUGGGGAAAAUGAUCCGUAAAUUCUGUGAGGAGACUCUCACACAAUAUCAAGCAUUUGCCAACUAUAAACAAUAUAGGAUGAUAAAAAUAGCCGGCUCCCUAGCCCCUGCAUUUCAUGCAGGCUGUUGUCAGCAGGGUCUGCUGCCUGAGCACAUCUCUGCGGCUUGUAUAAGUUCAAGGUAAACAAACUUCCAUAAUAUUUAAUCAGAAUUUUAAAAAAUCAUCAGAGGAAAUGUGUACCUGAGUGAAGCAGUAUUGGCUAACCACCAGCAAAAUUUUAGACUCCAAUUAUUGUACUUACUUUUUAAUCCAAUACUAAUUAAGAGUGUUUUAGGUCUUUAUUUAGAAGUUUGGUCAUGUUUUUGGGACCAGAAAUGUACCUAGGAAUUUAACUCCUGUUCGAUAAUUAUUCACUGAUGGGAUAUCAAUCUCGUCGAUCCCCAGUGUGAGAGACGAG
rnacentral:lncRNA from 1 species